rnacentral:lncRNA from 1 species
UGCCUAGAAAGAGCCAUGAAGUUUGCCUUUGGGGAGUUCCGCCUGUGGUACCAGUUUGCUCUGUCCCUGAUGGCUGCUGGAAAAUCUGCUCGUGCUGUGAAAGUGCUGAAACAGUGUGUCUACCUGAAGCCAGACGAUGCCACCAUCCCUCUCCUCGCUGCCAAGCUAUGCAUGGGCUCCCUGCACUGGUAGGAAGAGGCUGAGAAGUUUCCCAAAAAUGUCGUUGAUGUGAGAGAGAAAACAUCAGAGUUCAAGGCCAAAGGCCACUUAGCUCUGGGGCUCAUG